CUGGGGCGUCUCGGGUUGGCCCCCGACUGCCAGCCCGCGUCGUACGAACUUGAGCCACUGAGACCCCGGCCGGCAGCAGAGCGGAGCGGCAGGAGGCGUCCCGUCCCGCGACGCUCGAUCUCGGCCGCAUAGCCGUCUGCCCCGCUGCAGGCGCGGCCCCGGCCUAGCUGCGUCUCCCGCGCGCCCGGCCAUGAAGAACACGAACCGGGAGGUGCCGGGCGCCGGGCAGCGCUACGCCUCCUGCGAUUGGUAUUACCACCUCCCGGCCAAGCGCUCUGAGAAGGCUGUGGCUGCCCCGCCUGCGUCGCAGAUCCCGGGGCUCAGCAAUGUGGGGGACUCGCAGGACUGGAGUGCGCUCCGGGCCAGGAGGUACUGGGUCAAGGACACAGACUCCGAGUACGUGAAGCUGGCCAAGCAGGGUGGCAGACCCGAUUUGCUGAAGCACAGCGCAGCCGGGACCAGGAAGGGCUCUCCGGUGGCCCACGCCCUGCCCGACUGGUACAUCCACCACAGCAAGCCGCCCACGGCCAGCCGGCGCGCGGUGCCAGUGGUCGCCAUGCCAGAUUACAUGGUGUACGAAGAGUUCCACCCCAGCCAGGCCAACGGGGGCUACGAGUCCAGGAGAGGACCCUUCAACUUCGACAUGAAGUCGGUCUGGCAGAGAGAGGCUGAAGAGCUUGAAGAGAAAAAGAAGGUGAGGCUGCCGGCCAUUACCUCAAAGCAGUCCAGCAAAGUGGGGACACCCGUGGGUGCCAGAGACCCCGCGGGAAGCAGGCUGUCCUUCCCCCCCAUGCCUGGUCAGAAAGCCAGUUCUCCAACAAACUUCUCCAAGCUCAUCAGCAACGGUUACAAGGACGAGUGGCUGCAGCAGCAGCAGCCAGUGGACUCCGAGAAGAGGACCCGGAGGACGUCCAGGGCGUCGGUGUCGUCCCAGUCCACGCAGGACCCCAAGGGACCCCAGGACACAGCAUUGCCACAGGACACAGAGGCUCCGGGAGUCUCUGAGGAGGCUGGCGAUCAGCGUCCUUGUCACAUAGGACAGCGCGGCUCAGGGACAUGAGUGUCCUCAUAGGGCACACUCUCCUUCCUCCUCGUGCCGAGCCUGGGCAUGCUGUCUCCCACAAAGGAUGUGUGCUGGGAGACCCAGUGACAUCUCCCCCCGCAUCGACACCAGCGGAGCUCAAGUAGAUUGGGCAGAUGUUUGGGGCCGCGUCCCCUGGAGUCGCCUGCGAGCUGAGGGACACUCUUGUCCCUGCUGCGUCCCCAAGGCUCCUGCUGUGUCUCACGAAAGGACACUGUGGAGGACAGCGCUCUUGCGGCAGCUUCGAUUGCGGCAGCUUCGAUAGCGUCACCACGCGGGUGUCCACAGUGCUGGCUCCUCGUUCUCGCAUUUCUCUCUGAGGCACUGAACAACCAUGGCUUGGCCACCCUUUGCUCAGUGGCCGGUGAGGUCACCUGGCCGGGCUCCAGGUCCCUUCCUCCCCAUUUCCCACUUCAGCAGCUCCCGGGGCGCCUCAGCCUUAGACUCUGAACCAGAAGAAACCCGAGCAAGCUUCAAGCCUCUUCCGUCACUUGGUCCUGUAAUCUUUGCAGAAAUAAUUUUUUCUGUUACAAAAAAGUAAUCAAUUUUAGAAUAUAGGGAUACCAUUUAUAUUAAAAAAAGAUUUUAUUAUGACUUGAAGUUUAAACAUUGAAUAUACAAUAAAACAUUGUAACAUUUGCUAGUUUUAAAUUUUUUGCUAAUACUUUUUAAAAUCCAGAUGAUUAAACACUUAUUUUGUGUCUUUUCAGUAAAUAUACAUUUAUUUUUAGUACUUAAUUUAGUAGGCUUUUCAAAAAGUUUUUAAUAAUCAGUCUAAAUGCUCUUAUUUUAUAAAGGUUAUUAUAGUUUCUCUAUAAGUACUUUGCCUCACAUGUAGUUUUAUAUUUUAUAUGUUUAAUUCAUUGACAAAAUAAUAAUUUUUAAUAAGGAAGUUUUUAGGAAGACAAAUAUGACCGCAGAUAUUUUAUCUUCUUAACUUUAUCAUGCACACACUCAACUAAAGUUUAGGUUCCAAAUUAGUUCUUUAACUGAGAUACUUAACCGAGCAUUUAUAAUAUAUUGUUUAAUUAUACCUAGACUAUUAUGGGAGAUGAAUGCAAUAUGUAAUUAAUUGGAAUGGCUGCCUGUAUUGAAUAAAAACAAUACACCCAUACAA